GGCUGCAAUUAGCUGGGUUCGUUAAUCGGCUCCUUCGGUUAAUUGGUUCCGUUGGGUAUCGCUGGGGAACCCCCCCUACAGGAGUUGGCUCCGUGUCCCCGUCGGGGCUGGGUCGGUGCUCGUCAGUCUCGUCGUUGCUGCGGGGCCAGGGCUCUUGCCGUGGAAGCUGAAGGCCUGCUCGAAGAGCACCUUGUCCUCCACCGUCCACUCGUCCGGGAAGGGCGUGAAGUUGGCCAGGUCAGCCAAGGACUUCUCCACGUCGUGUUUGUGCCACAGCAGCA